GUGGUCAAGCUACCAAGGGCGCAUGGGGGAUGUCUUGGCAUUAGGAGGCUUUGAAGGGCGCGGAAGGCUGCGAAAAGCCU
rnacentral:rRNA from 1 species